rnacentral:rRNA from 1 species
UACGUAGGGGGCGAGCGUUGUCCGGAUUUAUUGGGCGUAAAGAGCUCGUAGGCGGCUUGGCAAGUCGGGUGUGAAACCUCCAGGCUCAACCUGGAGACGCCACUCGAUACUGCUAUGGCUAGAGUCCGGUAGGGGACCACGGAAUUCCUGGUGUAGCGGUGAAAUGCGCAGAUAUCAGGAGGAACCCCGGUGGCGAAGGCGGUGGUCUGGGCCGGCACUGACGCUGAGGAGCGAAAGCGUGGGUAGCAAACGGG